CAAUAGCGUAUAUUAAAGUUGUUGCAGUUAAAAAGCUCGUAGUUGGAUUUCGGGGCAGCCUGGCUGGUCCGCCGCAAGGCGAGUACUGGUCAGCCGCCCUUCCUCUCGAAAGCCCCGACUGCUCUUUAUUGCAGUGGUCGGGUAGUUCGGGACGUUUACUUUGAAAAAAUUAGAGUGUUCAAGGCAGGCCUACGCCUGAAUACAUUAGCAUGGAUUAAUGGAAGAGGACCUCGGUCCUAUUUUGUUGGUUUCCAGGACCGAAGUAAUGAUUAAGAGGGACAGUUGGGGGCAUUCGUAUUUAAUUGUCAGAGGUGAAAUUCUCGGAUUUAUGAAAGACGAACAACUGCGAAAGCAUUUGCCAAGGAUGUUUUCAUUAA
rnacentral:rRNA from 1 species